AUGCGGCCGGGGCUGCGCGGUGGUGAUGCGAGCCUGCUGGGCGGCGCGCCGGGGCAGCCGGAGCCGCGCGCCGCGGCGCUGUAAUCGGACACCAAGAGCGCUCGCCCCCGGCCUCCGGCCACUUUCCAUUCACUCCGAGGUGCUUGAUUGAGCGACGCGGAGAAGAGCUCCGGGUGCCGCGGCACUGCAGCGCUGAGAUUCCUUUACAAAGAAACUCAGAGGACCGGGAAGAAAGAAUUUCACCUUUGCGACGUGCUAGAAAAUAAGGUCGUCUGGGAAGAGGACUGGAGACACAAGCGGAUCCAACCCCGGUAGCAAACUGAUGACUUUUCCGCGCUGAUUUCUUUCAACCUCGGUAUUUUCCCUUGGAUAUUAACUUGCAUAUCUGAAGAAAUGGCAUUCCGGACAAUUUGCGUGUUGAUUGGAGUAUUUAUUUGUUCUAUCUGUGUAAAAGGAUCUUCCCAGCCCCAAGCAAGAGUUUAUUUAACAUUUGAUGUAACGAAACAAAGACACAGAAACACUUCUUCACCACUGAGCAUUCGAGAGUGAUCUAUACUAUUCUUUCAUCAAAUUUGCUCUAUG
rnacentral:sRNA from 1 species